AUGAUUGAAGUUUUUCUAUUUGGAAUCGUGUUAGGUUUAAUUCCUAUUACUUUGGCUGGAUUAUUUGUAACUGCAUAUUUACAAUACCGACGAGGUGAUCAGUUGAAUCUUUGA
rnacentral:tRNA from 1 species